rnacentral:tRNA from 1 species
GCCCGGAUGGCGAAACCGGUAGACGCAGCGGACUUAAAAUCCGCUACCUGCAAGGGUGUGCGGGUUCGAAUCCCGCUCCGGGCACCA